CUACGGGAUGCUGCAGUGGGGAAUAUUGCACAAUGGAGGAAACUCUGAUGCAGCAACGCCGCGUGGAGGAUGACACUUUUCGGAGCGUAAACUCCUUUUAUAUAGGAAGAAGAUGACGGUACUAUAUGAAUAAGCGCCGGCUAACUCCGUGCCAGCAGCCGCGGUAAUACGGGGGGCGCAAGCGUUACUCGGAAUCACUGGGCGUAAAGAGCGUGUAGGCGGAUUAAAAAGUCAGAAGUGAAAUCCUAUAGCUUAACUAUAGAACUGCUUCUGAAACUCUUAAUCUAGAAUAUGGGAGAGGUAGAUGGAAUUUCUGGUGUAGGGGUAAAAUCCGUAGAGAUCAGAAGGAAUACCGAUUGCGAAGGCGAUCUACUAGAACAUUAUUGACGCUGAGACGCGAAAGCGUGAGGAGCAAACAGGAUUAGAUACCCUCGUAGUC
rnacentral:rRNA from 1 species